CCUGGUUGAUCCUGCCAGUAGUCAUAUGCUUGUCUCAAAGAUUAAGCCAUGCAUGUGUAAGUACAGGCCGACUUAAGGCGAAACCGCGGACGGCUCAUUAAAUCAGAUAUAACUCAUUGGAUCUCUGCUGAACCGCAUUACUUGGAUAACUGUGGUAAUUCUAGAGCUAAUACAUGCCUUUGUAGUCUCCGACCGCGAGGGAGGAGCGCUUUUAUUAGACCAAAACCCUCGGCAGCCGGUUCCCGCAAGGGGCCGGCCGCACACAUCUUGGUGAAUCAGAAUAACUUUUGCCGAGCGCACGACCCCUCCCGUAACCCGGGUUGGGUCGGCGCCGCGUCCUGCAGGCGUCUGCCUUAUCAGCUCUCGAUUGUAGGUUAAACGCCUACAAUGGCUAUCACGGGUAACGGGGAAUCAGGGUUCGAUUCCGGAGAGGGAGCCUGAGAAACGGCUACCACAUCUAAGGAAGGCAGCAGGCGCGCAAAUUACCCACUCCCGGCACGGGGAGGUAGUGACGAAAAAUACUGUUGCGAGCCCCGAACGGGGCCUCGCAAUUGGAAUGAGUACACUUUAAAUCCUUGUACGAGGAUCGAGUGGAGGGCAAGUCUGGUGCCAGCCGCCGCGGUAAUUCCAGCUCCACUAGCGUAUAUUAAAGUUGUUGCGGUUGAAACGCUCGUAGUUUGACUUCUGCUCCGGACCGGCGGUCCGCCUUAGCGGCGGCUACUGCCGGGUUCCGAGCUGUGUCCCCGCCGGCGCACAUGGGGUUUUUAUGCCCUUAACCGGGUGUCCCCUUGUGGCCGGCACGUUUACUUUGAAAAAAUUAGAGUGCUCAGAGCAGGCUGGUUUUUGCUUACAGCCCGAAUGGUCGUGCAUGGAAUGAUGGAACAGGACCUCGGUUCUAUUUUGUCGGUUUUUCGGAACCCGAGGUAAUGAUUAAUAGAAGCAGACGGGGGCAUUCGUACUGCGACGCUAGAGGUGAAAUUCUUAGACCGUCGCAUGACGACCUACUGCGAAAGCAUCUGCCAAGGAUGUUUUCAUUGAUCAAGAACGAAAGUUAGAGGUUCGAAGGCGAUCAGAUACCGCCCUAGUUCUAACCUUAAACGAUGCUGACUAGCGAUCCGCCGCAGUUAUUCCCAUGACCCGGCGGGUAGCUUCCGGGAAACCAAAGUCUUUGAGUUCCGGGGGAAGUAUGGUU
rnacentral:rRNA from 1 species